rnacentral:pre_miRNA from 1 species
UAUCUACUUCCUCCGUUCGGAAUUACUUGUCGCAGGUAUGAAUGUAUCUAGAUGUAUUUUAGUUCUAGAUACAUCCAUUUCUGUAACGAGUAAUUUAGAACAGAGGGAGUAGUAU